AACGAACGCUGGCGGCAUGCCUAACACAUGCAAGUCGAACGAAGCCUUCGGGCUUAGUGGCGCACGGGUGCGUAACGCGUGGGAAUCUGCCCCUUGCUUCGGAAUAACAGUUAGAAAUGACUGCUAAUACCGGAUGAAGUCUUCGGACCAAAGAUUUAUCGGCAAGGGAUGAGCCCGCGUAGGAUUAGGUAGUUGGUGGGGUAAAGGCCUACCAAGCCGACGAUCCUUAGCUGGUCUGAGAGGAUGAUCAGCCACACUGGGACUGAGACACGGCCCAGACUCCUACGGGAGGCAGCAGUGGGGAAUAUUGGACAAUGGACGCAAGUCUGAUCCAGCAAUGCCGCGUGAGUGAUGAAGGCCUUAGGGUUGUAAAGCUCUUUUACCAGGGAUGAUAAUGACAGUACCUGGAGAAUAAGCUCCGGCUAACUACGUG
rnacentral:rRNA from 1 species